rnacentral:rRNA from 1 species
UACGGAGGGUGCAAGCGUUAUCCGGAUUCACUGGGUUUAAAGGGUGCGUAGGCGGACAGGUAAGUCAGUGGGGAAAUCUCUGGGCUUAACCCAGAAACUGCCGUUGAUACUAUUUGUCUUGAAUAUCCUGGAGGUAGGCGGAAUAUGUCAUGUAGCGGUGAAAUGCUUAGAUAUGACAUAGAACACCGAUAGCGAAGGCAGCUUACUACAGGAUGAUUGACGCUGAGGCACGAAAGCGUGGGGAGCAAACAGG